UGAUCCUAACCCUGAUAUUCAUCUAUUAUUUAUUGAAUUUAAUAAAAAUUUUUUUGAAGAGAAACUUUCUUCUGUUGAAGUUAAGUGGAGUAAAAGGAUGACUUUAUGUGCAGGAACUUGUAGAUAUGAAAGCUUUGGGGGGCUUUGCUUAAUUACUUUGAGUGAACCUUUGUUGAAAUACAGAACUAGAAAAGAACUUAUUGAAACCCUUUUGCACGAAAUGAUUCAUGCCCUUCUUUUUAUUACUCAAAAUAAUAAAGAUCACGAUGCGCACGGCCCCGAGUUUAUAAAUAAUAUGACCAGGAUUAAUAAUUUAAUCGGGACCGAUAUUUCCGUUUAUCAUAAUUUCCAUAAUGAAGUGAACUUUUAUCGUACACACGUUUGGCGUUGCACUGGGCCUUGUCAAUUCAAGCCUCCUUUUUAUGGAAUAGUUAAGCGAGCGACAAAUCGGAAACCUGGUAAGUAUGACCGCUGGUUUUAUACUCACCAGUUGAACUGUGGUGGUACUUUUGAGAAGAUUUCUGCGCCGGAAAAAAAAUCCACGAAUAGGAUUAAAAAUAAUAACACUGAUAA